GACGAACGCUGGCGGCGUGCUUAACACAUGCAAGUCGAGCGGAAAGGCCACUUCGGUGGUACUCGAGCGGCGAACGGGUGAGUAACACGUGAGUAAUAUGCCCCUGGCUUUGGGAUAGCCACCGGAAACGGUGAUUAAUACCGGAUAUGACCACUUUUAGCAUGGGUCGUGGAGGAAAGUAUUUGGGCCAGGGAUGUGCUCGCGGCCUAUCAGCUUUAUGGUGAGGUAAUGGCUCACCAUGGCUUCGACGGGUAGCCGUACUGAGAGAGUGACCGGGCACACUGCGCCCGAGACACGGCACAGACUCCUACGGGAGGCAGCAGUGGAUAAUAUUGGGAAAUGGGCGGAAGCCUGAUCCAGCACCGCCGCGUGGGGGAUGACGGCCUUCGUGUUGUAAACCUCUUUCAGUCCCGACGAAGCGCGAGUAACGGUAGGUACAGAAGAAGCACCGGCCAACUACGUGCCAGCCGCCGCAUAACAC
rnacentral:rRNA from 1 species